UACGUAGGUGGCAAGCGUUGUCCGGAUUUACUGGGCGUAAAGGAUGCGUAGGCGGACAUUUAAGUCAGAUGUGAAAUACCCGAGCUUAACUUGGGUGCUGCAUUUGAAACUGGGUGUCUAGAGUGCAGGAGAGGUAAGUGGAAUUCCUAGUGUAGUGGUGAAAUGCGUAGAGAUCCGGAGGAACACCAGUGGCGAAAGCGGCCACCUGGACUGCACCUGACGCUGAAACGCGAAAGCUAGGGGAGCGAACGGG
rnacentral:rRNA from 1 species